GUAGCUGGUCUGAGAGGAUGACCAGCCACACUGGAACUGAGACACGGUCCAGACUCCUACGGGAGGCAGCAGUGGGGAAUAUUGGACAAUGGGGGCAACCCUGAUCCAGCAAUGCCGCGUGUGUGAAGAAGGCCUGAGGGUUGUAAAGCACUUUCAGUGGGGAGGAGGAUUGAUAGGUUAAGAGCUAAUUAAUUGGACGUUACCCACAGAAGAAGCACCGGCUAACUCCGUGCCAGCAGCCGCGGUAAUACGGAGGGUGCRAGCGUUAAUCGGAAUUACUGGGCGUAAAGGGUGCGUAGGUGGUUGAWUAAGUUAUCUGUGAAAUCCCUGGGCUUAACCUGGGCAGGUCAGAUAAAACUGUUUGACUCGAGUAUGG
rnacentral:rRNA from 1 species